GGCGGUGCCUGGCGCGGCGCCUCCCGCUCUGCCGCUGCCGGGGCCGGGGCUGACGCCGCGCCGCGCCGCGCUGCCCUUUUUCGUCAGUGGAAAACUCCGGGCUCUGACGCAGGCGGUGACAGACGCGGGGCCGGCGCGCGCCCGGCCCGCCCGGCUUCCUGCCCUCCCUCCCCUCCCCUCCCCUCCCCUCCCCUCCCUGGGCGGGGCGCUGAGUCAGGGCCAGCGGGAGGCCACGCCCCGCCCCGCCCCGCCCGCCCGGCGCUGAGGCGGGGUGGGGGGGGGCACACGGUGGGGUUUGGGAGCCAGAGCGCGGGCGGGGGGGGACACCCACGGGUACAGCUUGGAUCCCACACGGGAUCGGGGUCCCACAGGGGGUUUGGGAGCCACAGCUAGGCUUGGCCCCUGAAAGGGAUUUGGGCCCCGCAAAGGGUUGGGGUCCCUGCAUGGGGUUUGGGAUCCACAGGGGCAACUUGGACCCCAGCAUGGCCGUGGGUGCCUCAAUGGGUUUGCACCCCACAAGGGAUCAGGGUCCUACAGGGGGUUUGGGACCCACAAGGAGUGGAGGGCCCAUGGGCAAGGAUUGGACCCUGAAACAGAUUUGGGUCUCACAGGGGGUUGGGGACUCCCAACCAGGCAUUGAGCCCAUAAGGGGUUUGGGUGCCUCAGGGGGUUCAGAGCCCACAAGUGUUUGGGGAGACACAGGCAAGUAUUGGACCUGAAAACAUGUUUGGGCGCCAUAAGGAGUUUGUCCACUGAAAGGAAUUUGGACACCACAAAGGGUUUGGGUCCCUUCCUGGGGUUUGGGACCCACAGGCACAACUUGGACCCCAGAUGGACGUGGGUGCCUCAAGGGGUUUGGAUCCCACAGGGGCCUGGGCACCCACGGACACAGCUCGGAUGCCAAGAGUGGGGCACCGCAGGGGCUUUGAGUCCCACAGACUUGGCCCCUGGAGGGGGUUUGGACCCCACAGGGGUUUUGGGACCAACAGGCACAGCUUGGACCCACAAGCACUUUGGGACCCAUGGGCAAGGCUUGGAGCCCAAAACAAAUUUGGGUCCCACAGGAGGGGUUGGCCCCACAGGAAUUUGGGACCCAUGGGGGAUAUCGGACCCACAAGCAAGGUUUGGCCCAUACAAGGGAUUUAGGCCCUAUAAGGGAUUUGGGUCCCACAGGAGAGGCUUGGCCUCCAAAGGGGGUUGACAUCCAAAACAAGGGUUUGGCCCACAAGUAAGAGUUUUGGCCCCCCAAGGUGGUUGGGAUUCAGAAGCAAGUUUGGUCCUCAAAAGGCUUUCUGGACACCAAGGGGGUUUGUCACCUACACAAAAGGCUUGGCCCCCGAAAAGGAUUAGGGCCCCAUAGGGGUUUUGGGCCCCACAAGUAAGGCUUGGACCACACAAGAGGUUUUGGCCCCGUGUGGGAUUUGGGAUGCACAAGAAAGGUUUGGCCUCUUGCAGGGUUUUGGGCCCACCUGAAGGUGCUUGGGGCAGAGCCAUGAGGCUUGGCUCCUGAAGGGAAUUUUGGACCCAGGGGGAUUUGAUCCCCCAAACGUGUUUGGGCCCUACAGGCAAAGGUUGACCCUGAAAGGCAUUUGGGCCCCCCAAAGGAACUUGGGCCCUAUGAGCAAGGUUUGACCACCAAAUGGGUUUGAGACCCACAAGCAAGAGUUGGCCCCCAAAGGGGGGUCUCUGAAAGGGAGUUUGGCCCUAUAAGUGACGCUUGGCCCCCAGAGGGAUUUAAAGCCCUACAGGCAAGAGACACGAUGUUUUGGGGAGUUCGUUUCCCAGGAUGGCUGGAAUGGGAGGGAUGUCUGGGACCCUGCACCAGGUCACCCCCCAGCUCUGGUCGCUGCAGCUUUCAGCUGAGGGUCUCCACACGCUUAGACCACCAGGAGCUUUCAGAGAGCUGCACUGCUGCAAUUAAACCCCUUGAAGUGGUAGGUGAGGUGCAGAAUGACCUGGUGUUUCCCAAUUUUGAUGCUUGGCUGGGUUUUCGCCCCAAAAGUUGGAGCUGGGCCAAUGGCCGGUGGCAUUGCCAGAGUCCCCAAGCUAUGAAGCUGCCUGUUCUCAGGGUAGGUCUUUAAAAUAGAGCCCAUCUGUACCCCGCAGGGUGUGGGGUACAGCCAAGCUGCAGGAGUCCCCGUGUAGGACGAAGUCCACGGAGGUGGAAGGACGUGUGUUCUUUGGCUCCAUGGAGGAGCCUGAAGACAGCCGUAGCAGGGUCUCCUCAACUCCAUUUCUGCAUCCAGCCUCUAAGGGCCUGCCUCACCCCCUUCCUAUGCAAGGUGUCUCAUUUGGAAGGUGCCCAGUCUGACCAUGAAGAGAGGAGAUGAGGAACAUCCUCCUCUCCCCACGCAGCCGGAGCGGCACACAGUCCCUGCGCCCAGGAAAGCCCUCACUCCUUUGGCAAAGGCAGCUGGCAGCACUGGGCCGGAGCUGGUUUCCCUGGCUGGGCGCCAUGUGAGUGCUGCUCCGGCAGGAGGAAAUUCCCUGCUGACCAGCCAUGGUGGUGAUAAGUGGUCUGGCAGAGAGCAGCAGCCGCAGACCAAGCACAGGGAGCGGGGAACCCAGCGGGAAAGGACUGGAGGAGGAUGCUGCGUGAUACCCAGGGCAGCGAGAUAAGAGGGUGAGCCAGCCAAGCUCUGGGUGUCAAGCUCCUUGCUGCCUGUUUUGUGCUUGCCCUGCAGCAGGAGAAGCGCUUUCCCUGGGGUUGAAAGCUUCCUGGUGCUUAGGGAUGGAUAAAUCAUGAGUAUCUGGGCUUGGUGAUAGGAAUUUUUUUUCCGAGUUUUGCAUGCACAUCCCCAGCGUGGUUCUGAAAGGGCUCAUCAGCUGUAUCUGGCUGUGGAUGCGUUGCUGGGUACUGUGGCAGCCCGUCUGGGAAUAAAGGUACGGGGACAUGGGAAAAGAAACCACCACUGAACCAACCCCGCUUGAGCAAUUGCAUGUCCAGCAUCACCCUGCACCGGCCCCAUGGCCCCGACUUGUCCCGUUUUGCGUUCAGGUAAAAUGAACGCUUAGCUUUUAUAACGCCUUGUGCAGUCGCAGUGAACUGCCACGGCUGCUCACAGGCUGCCUCUCUUGGUGCCAGGGCUCCUUCCCACCCCAUGCAUCUGAAACACAAGUUGAACAAGGAACUUGACUUGAUCUCAAGUUGAGUUGUUUGGGUUGUUUUCCCUUGAAAGAUGGCCAUAAAAGUGGCAAAUCAAAGACUUUGCUUCAGCCGCGCUCUGGUCUGUUCACCUACACUGGGAGCUGUGGGAGGGAUGCGGCCAUGCUUUAUUUCAUUUAAGGCCAAUGCCUUGAAUGCUAUGGA